rnacentral:rRNA from 1 species
GACGAACGCUGGCGGCGUGCUUAACACAUGCAAGUCGAACGGUGAAGGGACCGGUUUUUGCUGGUUCUGGAUGAGUGGCGAACGGGUGAGUAACACGUGAGUAACCUGCCCCCUUCUUCUGGAUAACCGCAUGAAAGUGUGGCUAAUACGGGAUAUUCUGCGCCUGCUGCAUGGUGGGUGUGGGAAAGAUAUUGUUUCGGUGGGGGAUGGGCUCGCGGCCUAUCAGCUUGCUGGUGGGGUGAUGGCCUACCAAGGCGGUGACGGGUAGCCGGCCUGAGAGGGUGGACGGUCACACUGGGACUGAGACACGGCCCAGACUCCUACGGGAGGCAGCAGUGGGGAAUAUUGCACAAUGGGCGCAAGCCUGAUGCAGCGACGCCGCGUGAGGGAUGGAGGCCUUCGGGUUGUAAACCUCUUUCGCCAGUGAAGCAGGCCUGUCCCUUUUGUGGGUGGGUUGACGGUAGCUGGAUAAGAAGCGCCGGCUAACUACGUG